UUUUGCUUUUUUUAUUAUGAGUAUUUUAAAUCCGUUGUGAUGUCUUUUAAAUUUACUAAAAGCCAACAUAAAAACUACGUUUUUGAACAGCACCAAAAAGAACAGCUGCAUCCCUACAGCAACUGCUGCAGUAUCACAAUAGGUUACCAAAAGCAGUGUCAAUAAUUUUAUUCUUUGAAUGAGAUUAGUUAAACAAGUCGGCUUUCCAAUUCAAGAUAUUGGUGCCAAAAUUGAACACCAUUAGCAAAAUGCUAACAAAAUUAGGCUACGCUUGGCUCCUCGGUGCUGUAAAUGGUGGCUUCAACUUAGUUUUUGUAAGAAAAAU